UCUCUCAAGCCGGAUUUGAACUAGCGACCUAAGGAUAACCACUGAUACAUAUACAGUUCUCUGCUCUGCCAACUGAGCUAUUGAGGAG